AUGGUGGUGGUGGAGCAGGUCUGCUAGGAAGGAGCCUGAUUAUGGAGAGCUUUGUGGGUGAAGAGGAGGACUUUAAACUGGAUGUGUUGGGUAACAGGGAGCCAGUGGAUCUUCUGAAGGACGGGAGUGAUGUGAUCACUGAACGGGUGUGGGUGAGGAGACGGGCAGCCGAGUUUUGGAUUUAUUGAAGCUUAUUUAUGGCUUUUGCAGGUGAACCAUGGAGGAUUCUGUUGCAGUAGUCAAUUCUGGAAGUGAUGAAGGCAUGAAUCAAAUGUUUGGCAGCAAAGAGACGGGCAAUGUUUUUGAGGUGAAAGAAGGCAGUUCUGGUUAUUUUAUUGAUGUUGUUUUCAAAAGAGAGGUUGCUGUUGAAGAUGACUCCCAGGUUACGUGUGUGUGGGGAUGGGGACAGUAUGGGGUUGCUGACAGU